rnacentral:rRNA from 1 species
UCCUGUACCUUUAUGCAAUGCGAUGGGGGGACGGAGAAGGUUAGGCAGGCCGGGUGUUGGAAGUCCCGGUUCAAGCGUGUAGGCGUGCCCGGUAGGCAAAUCCGCUGGGCUUAGCCGAGGCGUGAUGACGCAAGGUCCUUCGGGAUCCCAAGUUGCUGAGACCCCGCUUCCAGGAAAAGCCUCUAAGCUUCAGUUGCAUGAAGACCGUACCGCAAACCGACACAGGUGGGCAGGAUGAAGAUUCUAAGGCGCUUGAGAGAACUCAGGAGAAGGAACUCGGCAAAUUAGCACCGUAACUUCGGGAGAAGGUGCGCCCCGGUAGUGUGUAGCGGCUUGCCCGUGAAGCACGAUGGGGUUGCAGUGAAUUGGUGGCUGCGACUGUUUAAUAAAAACACAGCACUCUGCAAACACGAAAGUGGACGUAUAGGGUGUGACGCCUGCCCGGUGCCGGAAGGUUAAGUGAUGGGGUGCAAGCUCUUGAUCGAAGCCCCGGUAAACGGCGGCCGUAACUAUAACGGUCCUAAGGUAGCGAAAUUCCUUGUCGGGUAAGUUCCGACCUGCACGAAUGGCGUAACGAUGGCCACACUGUCUCCUCCUGAGACUCAGCGAAGUUGAAGUGUUUGUGAAGAUGCAAUCUACCCGCUGCUAGACGGAAAGACCCCAUGCACCUUUACUGUAGCUUUGCAUUGGACUUUGAUGAGACUUGUGUAGGAUAGGUGGGAGGCUUUGAAGGCGGGAUGCUAGUCCCGCUGGAGCCGUCCUUGAAAUACCACCCUGGUGUCAUUGAGGUUCUAACCUGGAUCCAUUAUCUGGAUCGGGGACCGUGCAUGGCAGGCAGUUUGACUGGGGCGGUCUCCUCCCAAAGGGUAACGGAGGAGUUCGAAGGUUCGCUAGGUACGGUCGGACAUCGUACUGAUAGUGCAUUGGCAAAAGCGAGCUUGACUGCGAGACGGACAUGUCGAGCAGGUGCGAAAGCAGGACAAAGUGAUCCGGUGGUUCUGUAUGGAAGGGCCAUCGCUCAACGGAUAAAAGGUACGCUGGGGAUAACAGGCUGAUGACUCCCAAGAGUUCAUAUCGACGGAGUCGUUUGGCACCUCGAUGUCGGCUUAUCACAUCCUGGGGCUGUAGCCGGUCCCAAGGGUAUGGCUGUUCGCCAUUUAUUGGUACGUGAGCUGGGUUUAAAACGUCGUGAGACAGUUUGGUCCCUAUCUGCAGUGGGCGUUGGAGAUUUGACGGGGGCUGCUCCUAGUACGAGAGGACCGGAGUGGACGCACCUCUGGUGUACCGGUUGUGACGCCAGUCGCAUCGCCGGGUAGCUAUGUGCGGAAGAGAUAACCGCUGAAAGCAUCUAAGCGGGAAACUUGCCUGGAGAUGAGAUCUCCCGGAGGCUUGACCUCCCUGAAGGGUCGUGGAAGACCACCACGUUGAUAGGCCGGGUGUGGAAGCGCAGUAAUGCGUUAAGCUAACCGGU